rnacentral:ncRNA from 1 species
UGGCUUCACUACGGGUGCCUGUUUGCUGUGGACCUCUUUGCCCGAUCCAACCCCUUUGCCCCUACCGCUGAGUGGGAGAUCGGGCGAACCCGGAAAACUGACCUUACGGGCUGAGAUUGACCGUUUGCACUCGAUCAAGUUAAGACUUGCGUGGGAAAUGUGUUGCCGCUACCGA